AUUUACUCAAUCCAUGUCUCCCUCUUCUAAUGGCGUUUCUCACUCUUCUGUGAACUGGCAGCAGCCAAAUGUGCCGACUCUUCAUUUACCAGGAAGUAACCUUCAAUCCAGCCGGUUGAGGUCAUCUCUGAAUGCCAGGGAUAUGCCUUUAGAGGAUUUAAAUGUCUUGCCAGACUUUGACAACCAGCCACGGAUUUUGAAUGAUUUGAACUGUUUCUCUCAGCCUCGCCCGAGUGCUGUGUCUGUUAGCCGAUCUGGUUGGACCCAAACUCUAACUCCUAACAACCUUGAAGAGCUUUUUUCUUCUGAGAUCUCUUCGUCUCCCAGAUUUUCCGAUCCAGCUGCCAAUGCCUUUUCCCCUACCCGCAAAUCAACUAUGCUAAACCAAUUCCAGCAGCAGCAGCAGAACAUGUUGUCACCUAUUAAUACAAGCAUUAUGU
rnacentral:misc_RNA from 1 species